rnacentral:lncRNA from 1 species
UUUUUUUUUUUUGAGAUGGGGUCUCUGUUGCCCAGGUCGGAGCACAGUGGUGUGAGAAUGGCUCAUUGCAACCUUUGUUACAGUGGGUAUCUAAUUAGGCAUGGGCAGUUGUUAACUGUUUCUCUAAAGUAAUAAUUGGUCACAGUGGUGCCAGGCAAAGGCAGUCUCCUAACAGAAAACACCUGAAACUAUCAGCUGCUUCCCAAUAAGAUCUCAGCAGUGGGGAGAAGUAACGCAAGAUCCUGGAAGUAGGCCAAUGGAUAAAACCCCCAAGUCAAGAGGUCAAGAUGCACACUUGGUUUCUCAAGUUGCCUGCUCGGUCCUCUUCCAAGUUGUACUUUCCUUCUUUCCUUUCCUUACUGCUCUAAAGCUUUUCUUUUCUUUUUUUGAGAUGGUGUCUCACUCUGUUGCCCAGGCUGGUGUGCAGUGACGUGAUCUCAGCUCACUGCAACCUCUGCCUCCCAGGUUCAAGUGAUUCUUGUGCCUCAGCCUCCUGACUUCUAGCUGGGAUUACAGGCACAUAAACGACCAUGCCCGGCUAAUCUUUUUUCGGAACAGAGUCUCACUCUUCAUCCAGGCUGGAGUGCAGUGGUGCAAUCUCGGCUCACAGUAACCUCCACCUCCCGAGUUCAAGUGCUUCUCCUGCCCCAGCCUCCCAAGUAGCUGGGAUUACAAACAUGCACCACCAUGCCCAGCUCAUUUUUGUAGUUUUGGUAGAGACGACGUUUCACCAUGUUGGCCAUGCUGGUCCCAAGCUGACCUCAAGGGAUCCACCUGCCUUGGCCUCCUGAAAUGUUGGGAUUACAGGUGUGAGUCACUGCGCCCAGCCUCUAGAGCUUUUUAAUAAACUUUCACUCCUGCUCUUAAACUUGCCUCCAUCUCUUCUUCUGCCUUAUGCCCCAGUUGAAUUCUUUCUUCUGAGGAGGCAAGAACUGAGGUUGCUGCAGAUACAUAUGGAUUUGCCACCAGUAACUUGGAAACCUUCCACGGGUAACACCUUGACCUACCUCCCGGGCUCAAGUGAUCCUCCCGCCUGAGCCCGCCAAAUAGCUGGGAUCACAGUUGCGCACCACCAUGCCCGGCUAAUUUUUUUUUUUUUUUUUGAGACAGGGUCUCUUUGUAUUGCCCAGGCUGGCACACACUUCUCUUUAUAGUUACUGUCAUCAUCUUUCGAUCACACUGAUGUUCUCCUUCACUUUGUCUCUUGCAAUAGCUUCCCACUGAUCCACCACACAGUGGCUAGAGUGCCCUUUCAACAGAUCACAGUACCGCGGUCCUCCUUAAAGCCCUUCCAAGGAUUCCCACUGAAUCUGACACACAAUUCAAACUCCCUAAAGGCCUUUUGUGGCCUCGUCCCUGCCCUCUGUCCAUCUCUCUGCCCCUGGGGUCUGUCCACAAUGGAUGCUCUUUAGGCGUCCUGCCUUCAGAUCACUUCUUCAGAGAGAACUUCCUGACAGCUGUCCCCUCUCCAUCUUAAACGCUUCUCCUGUUACUUUCUCUCACAGAAUUCAGUUCUUUCCACCAUAGCGUUUGCCACAAUCUGUAAUUACUCAUCUGACCAUGUGUGUAUUUAUUUGCUUUCCCCGUCACUGGGUUGCUUCCAGACAGCAGCUGGGAUCGUGUUUCUCACCCCUGAGCAUGGAGCGCCUGGCUCAGGGGCAGGCACAGAGACGGUGCUCUCCAAGUACUCGCUGAAUGAAUCCACAGUCGUCUCCUGCCUCAAACACAGGUCUAGCAGGAAGGCUCUUCUGGUGACAAUACUUUACCCCCGCAAAAAAAAAAAAAAAAAAA